GGCGAACGCUGGCGGCGUGCUUAACACAUGCAAGUCGAACGGAAAGGCCCUGCUUUUGUGGGGUGCUCGAGUGGCGAACGGGUGAGUAACACGUGAGUAACCUGCCCUUGACUUUGGGAUAACUUCAGGAAACUGGGGCUAAUACCGGAUAGGAGCUCCUGCUGCAUGGUGGGGGUUGGAAAGUUUCGGCGGUUGGGGAUGGACUCGCGGCUUAUCAGCUUGUUGGUGGGGUAGUGGCUUACCAAGGCUUUGACGGGUAGCCGGCCUGAGAGGGUGACCGGCCACAUUGGGACUGAGAUACGGCCCAGACUCCUACGGGAGGCAGCAGUGGGGAAUAUUGCACAAUGGGCGGAAGCCUGAUGCAGCAACGCCGCGUGCGGGAUGACGGCCUUCGGGUUGUAAACCGCUUUCGCCUGUGACGAAGCGUGAGUGACGGUAAUGGGUAAAGAAGCACCGGCUAAUUACGUG
rnacentral:rRNA from 1 species